GACGCGCCACGCCCCGAGCACGAAGCUCGCU
rnacentral:sRNA from 1 species